UACGAAGGGGGCUAGCGUUGCUCGGAUUCAUUGGGCGUAAAGGGCGCGUAGGCUGCGGGGUAAGUCGGGUGUGAAAUCUCAGAGCUCAACUCUGAAACUGCACUCGAUACUGCUUUGCUUGAGGACUGGAGAGGAGAUUGGAAUUCACGGUGUAGCAGUGAAAUGCGUAGAUAUCGUGAGGAAGACCAGUGGCGAAGGCGGAUCUCUGGACAGUUCCUGACGCUGAGGCGCGAAGGCCAGGGGAGCAAACGGG
rnacentral:rRNA from 1 species